GCCCUCGUUGAUUAAUGGUAAAUCACCUACACCCCUUAAAAGAUGGUAGGAUGGAUUGAUGUGGGCGACGGAGGUUCGAAUCCUUCCAAGGGCA